rnacentral:lncRNA from 1 species
CAUUUUUCGUGUGUUUCCUGUGCUAUACUUCGAUCUGCUACGACGCUCGACCGUCGCCGGCCGAUCGGAUCACCCGCCGUGAUGAUGUUCUUCCGGUCCGCGCCAUGCGCGGAUGCGAGGUGUAGACUCGUCUUUCGAUCGCCGUGCAGAGCUGCAGACCUCCUCCGUGUCCAUUGUUCUCGCAAUUCUUGCUGGAACAGUGAGUGAACGGAGGCGGCGGCGGCAGUAGCAGCAGUGGGGAGGAGGCCAAGCCCAGUUGGCCACCAUGGCUGCAAGAAAUUUGAGCAACCAAGAAUCUCUUGUGAUGGUGUCGCGAAUUUGUUUCGCUAGUUUAAUCCUUGGUCGGCGAGAGCUCGAGGAUGCGGCCGGAGAGCGCGGUGACGAGGGCCGCCUUGAAGCUUGGGUCCCGCGUCAGCGUCAUGGCCAUCUGCUCCGCCAGGUUGCGCCGGAUCAGCUCCGACGCCGCGACGGCGUCUUGCUGCGGCUGCUGCUUCUGCUGGUGGUGGUGGAGCAGCUGCUGCGGGUGGUCAGGCGACUGAGGCGCCGCCGCCGGGGCAGCGGGCCUCGGCGGCGACGGCGGCUUCGCGGCGGCGUUCUUGGCGUCGUGCGGCUGCUGCUGCGACGACGGCGCCGGCGGGGGCUGGCCGUGGUUGUGCUCGCCCUCGUACGUGGCCACGAGGAUGGUGUUGUCGUCGGCGCUCCGCUGCACCUUCUUCUUGACGGGGCACGCCGGCGCGAAGGAGCACCGGAAGUAGGCCCGCGGGCAGGGGUUGUCCUUGGUCACCUUCUGCCCGUACUUGCGCCACUGGUAGCCGUCCUUCACCACCAGGCUCAGGUCCGACGGGUCCGCGUGCACGUACAGCUUCGACACCUUGGGCUUGCACUCCUCCCGGAUGCGCUUGCACGGCUCGCCGGAGGUGCACUCCAUCUGGUCUGCCAGGCCCGGCUGCUGCUGGCCGCCGUUCUGCAGGCCGUGCUGCGGCGGGUGCUGCGCCUGCGCGCCCGGCGCCGCCGCGGUGUCGAGGCUCUCGCUCGUCUUGCGCUUCCUGGACGGGGAGACCGAUCCGCCCUCCGACGUGGACGACGGGUUGUUGGUCACGCCGGCGGCGACCAUCCCCGUGUACUGGCUCCGCAGCGCCUCGUACUUGGCCGCCACCGCCGUGAGCGCCUCGGCCAGGCGCCGGUUCUCCUCGCCCAUCCGCUGGAGCUCCGUCUCGAGGGCCGCGACCUGCGCGUUUCAAGGAUCCAUUAGACUCGUAGCUCAUCAAACACCGAGCUGCUACUAGAAUCAAUCGAUCGAUCGAUCAGCCACGCCAUCGAUCGGGGGUCGUGUUUAUACCUCUGGUUCUUUCUUGAGAGGCUGCAGGAAGUUCUCCUCGACGAGCACCUUGGGCUUGGCCAUGGCGACCGGCGCCUGGUGGCGGCUGAGCGGCGGCAGGCCGACGUGAAGGUCAAGGCUCAGGGAAGGCUGGCUGCCGAUCCAUGGAUCCAUCUGCCGAUUACUAAUCCCCUUCGAUGUCUCAGAGCAGGUCAACAAGGCUGCAGAGCGCUCGAUGUAGAAGGAGACAGGAGAACGAGGGAGGAGCUGGAGGAGUAGGAAGAAUGCCUGAGCGUGGGAG